AUACUUACCUGGACGGGGUCAAUGGGCGAUCAAGAAGGCUCAUGGCCUAGGUUGGUGGCCUCCAUUGCACUUAGGAGGGGUGCCUGCCUAUGGUCUCCUCACUGUAGGAGAGCCAACGUCAUAAUUUGUUGCGGUGGGGGCCUGCGUCCGCGCGGCCCCUGU
rfam:Prunus persica cultivar Lovell chromosome G6, whole genome shotgun sequence.